AGGAGGGCAGCCGAGGGCGCCACAGCAUGUUGCCGUUCUGAGAAAUACCGGUCGAACUUGAUCUGGAUAAUACCAGCGAAAGGACAUGCUUCUUAGCCUCCC
rnacentral:ncRNA from 1 species